rnacentral:tRNA from 6 species
GGAGCCUUGGCGCAAUGGUAGCGCGUUGGUUUUCGGCACCAAAGGUUGAGGGUUCGAGCCCCUUGGGCUUCG